UCCUGGUGUUUUAUUUACGAGCUGUAAGU
rnacentral:piRNA from 1 species